GCAAACUUGGUCAUUUAGAGGAAGUAAAAGUCGUAACAAGGUUUCCGUAGGUGAACCUGCGGAAGGAUCAUUAUUGAAUGAAACCUUUUGGCUGGAUGCUGUUGUUGCUGGCCCUUUGGGGCAAUGUGCACACUUCUCUGGUCAUUUGUUUCUUCUUUCCACCUGUGCACUGCCUGUAGACACACACUAUGUGUCUAUGAUAUUCUCAAAACCCAUAUGCACUGUAUAUUACAUGUAUAUAACCCCCCAAAAGUACAACUUUCAACAACGGAUCUCUUGGCUCUCGCAUCGAUGAAGAACGCAGC
rnacentral:misc_RNA from 1 species